rnacentral:lncRNA from 1 species
UCUUUCCACCUCCUCCUCCUGCAGCGGCGGCGGCAGCACUUGGCAGCAGCAACUUGAGACUGCACUGGGGCAAGCCCCCAGGGUGGUGCUCCCCGGAGAGCGGGGCUUGGUGCCCCGGAGGGGUGUGUGUAGGGUGAGGGCGGCCAGCUGGGACCAGCUGGUGGCCCUGGAAAACCUCCCACACACCCACACCCACACCCCCCUUUUGUGUUGCAGGCUGCCCCUCCAAGAGCAGAGGCAGCGAAAGGAGUCGUGUGCACCGGUCAGCCCCGGGAAGCUGUAGGGACCGGCGAGCAGGCACCACCUCCUGUUCCCCGCUCCAGGAAAACCAGGAAAACGAGAACUAGCAAGAGCUUGACAAACACCUGCCUUCAGAUUGGAAGACCAGUCACCUGUCAUUCCUGGACUCUGCACUGCAGCUGUCUAAGGAAAAACACCCAAAAGAAAGAAAACAAAGAACAAAAUACCCCAGAAUUCCAAAAGAACAGUAAGUGUUUUAAUGAGACAAUUAUUAUUCUAGAGCUUCUAUAAAAUUAGAAAACCUUAAUUUUUUUUUUUAAUAGAAAUGUUCACCUUGGUAUUUUCUAAGAUAAGAAACUAACAUACUAAAUAAAGUGCAGCCUUCUAAAACUCA